CAGGCAGCUCGCUGCAGAGCUCCUGAGGAGAGGGGAAGCAGGCUGCGGCGGUCAGCCCGCAGACCCCUCCCCGGCGCAGGGGGCUCGGCCCACCACGACUGUACCAUUCAGCAUUCCCGCAGGGGCAAAUCCCAGGAAAAUGCAUCCCGGGGCCUCGACCCCUCGUUCCAGCGGGGCCCAGCCCCGGGGCACCACCGCACCGGCAAAGCCCGGGAGGGGGCUCAGUGUCCCCCUUGGCUUUGCACACUCAGGCUGCUCCCAGCCUGGCUGCCAGCUCUCUCCCACCCUCCCUUGCCCUGUAAAAGGGAGGAGGGGGCUGGCGGCAGCAGCAGAGAGAGGUGGGAGAGGCGGCAAGGCAGGCGUGCGGGAGCUCGGCCAGCAGGUGAGAGGGAAGAUGAGCACAGAGGACACUGGCAAUGGGACCUCUCCUACCACGCCUCUCCUUGGGCUUCUGGUUUCAACGACUGAGCUGGUCCCUCCCAGCUAUGCAUCCCCUGAGACAGCAGACCCACUGCUUGUCAUUGUUGCACUCAUCUGCAUCUUCCUCCUCCUGGCGACCUUCCUCAUCUUUGUUACCCUGUGCAAGCCAGCGGUGCUGGACCAGGCCCGCUCCGGGCCCCAUGAGUGCAUGCCCCAUCACCCAGUGGAUGCCAGUGAGCCCCAGCUGAGGUUCUGGAAGCGGCUGGGCUCCCUGCGAUGCUCCAUCAACACCUUCAGGAGGAGUCAGCCAAUGUCCCAGAGACAGCUCACCUGCCCCAGGGGCUCCCUCGCCAGCCAGAACUGGGAUAUCACAGAAUCCACCAAAAUGUGACCCUCCUCUGCAGGAACUAACUCACCCCGCACUGCUAUUCUUUCUCAAGCUUUUGGUUCAGCCUCAGUUCCCUUCUGAGCAUCCUGGCAGAGCCCCUUUGAGCAGCUCAUUUCCAGGCAGUGACUCUGCAAGGUGAUGAGAGAUUUUGCUAUUUCAGGUUCACAAAUGCUUUCCAGGUUACCGUUUCCUGGCAGGAAAGGUGGAGGCAUCUGAACCACAACCACACACAGCUAUCACCAGGCAGUCCAAAAAAUACUGCCGCUUAAUUUCUUUUGGAAAACGUUGUGCAAGUUGCGAGCCACCUGAACAAACAGCCUGGGCGAGAGAAGAGCAAGCUGGCUACCCAACAAAUAUUGCCUUGAAGAGAGGCAUCCUGGGGCAAAUGUGCUCCACAAAAAGCAGUCCUCAGCUGAGACUGUCCCUGAGUUGUGGUCCUGAGCAGGCAGAGGAAGGCUUGUGCCCCCUGUGUGCCACCCGGUCCCUGUCUACUCUCUCUCCAUGCAAUGAGCUGUGGUUGCUGCAGAUGCUUGGAAGGAUGUAUGCUACAGCUGUUUGCUGGAAACCUGUUUCAAUAAACAAGCAGUGGGAGCAGGUAAACAUGCCUAUAAAUGCAUUAAAGAGAGCUUUUGAGGCUCGCAGCCACUGCCAGCUUUGAAAGGCACUGUGCAAAGCUCAGCUCUCAUUUCUGCUGGGAAAGGGUACAACAACCAGCAGCUUGCAAAUCCCACACUGAACCAUGGUGGUUUGGUUUUAUUCUGCCUGUCCUGAAAGAAAAUGGAAAAGCUGAACCACCUCUAAGCUCUGCCAUAGAGCCACUGCCCAGGGAGGCUGGAAACACAGCUAGUCAUUAAAGCAACUCCAUAGACCAAGAGAGUGAUGUACGCUGGAAGGGACUACUGGAGGUCAGGUAUUCGGGAGAUGAAGGCAGACAGGGGUCUGAUGAGUUUUCUGUAGACUCAGCUCAGCUCACAGCCAAAGAGCACCCGGACUGGUUGGUGUUCAGUAGAUAAGGACAUGGCACAAAGUGUGAGGCAAUGUGGACUCUAAGUGGGCUUGGCUUUUCCAACAUGACCAGUGCAAGUGAGCAUUAAAUCCACCUAGCUGGAGCCCAUGGGAUAUGCUGAGUGGAAAAACACAGGCAG